GCCAAUAAUAUUAAAAAGAAGCAAUACAGCUGCAUCGGCUAAAGCAAGAGAGUUGGCUUGGCAAAAAAUAACGGACAGAGUAAAUGCGUGUAAUCCUUCUGGAGCCACAAGAACUUUAAGCCAAGUCAAAAUGAAACACAAAAACAUUCUGCAAAAAGCUAACAGAAAGAAGACUGAAGCCCGUCUAACUGGCGGGGGGCCACCACCACCUCCCCUCACCCAUCUGAGGAGCUGGCUCUGUCCCUUAAUAAAGGGCGACCAGUGGUUGCUGGCAUUCCAGGGGGCAGUUCAUCACACAUACUAUGCACCACAAGUGAUAGUGAAAAAAGGGUGACAUAUACUGAUGGACGGAUUGUUUUAUUGGACUCUCCAGAAAGAACACAGUCUGUCACAGUUGAUGAAGAUGAUGAUGACGAUGAAGAGACCACAUCGGCC